rnacentral:rRNA from 1 species
ACUCAAAUGAAUAGACGGGGGCCCGCACAAGCGGUGGAGCAUGUGGUUUAAUUCGAUGCAACGCGAAGAACCUUACCUGCCCUUGACAUCCUAGGAAGACAGCGGAAACGUUGUUGUGCCGAAAGGAACCUAGAGACAGGUGCUGCAUGGCUGUCGUCAGCUCGUGUUGUGAGAUGUUGGGUUAAGUCCCGUAACGAGCGCAACCCUUGUCCUUAGUUACCAGCACGUAGCGGUGGGAACUCUAAGGAGACUGCUGGUGAAGAACCGGAGGAAGGCGGGGACGACGUCAAGUCAUCAUGGCCUUUAUGGGUAGGGCCACACACGUGCUACAAUGGGGCGUACAGAGGGAAGCCAACCCGCGAGGGGGAGCCGAUCCCGGAAAGCGCUUCGUAGUCCGGAUUGAAGUCUGCAACUCGACUUCAUGAAGUUGGAAUCGCUAGUAAUCGCGAAUCAGAAUGUCGCGGUGAAUACGUUCCCGGGCCUUGCACACACCGCCCGU